AACGAACGCUGGCGGCAUGCCUAACACAUGCAAGUCGAACGAGACCUUCGGGUCUAGUGGCGCACGGGUGCGUAACGCGUGGGAACCUGCCCUUAGGUUCGGAAUAACUCCCCGAAAGGGGUGCUAAUACCGGAUAAUGUCUUCGGACCAAAGAUUUAUCGCCAUUGGAUGGGCCCGCGUUGGAUUCGCUAGUUGGUAGGGUAAAAGCAUACCAAGGCGACGAUCCAUAGCUGGUCUGAGAGGAUGAUCAGCCACACUGGGACUGAGACACGGCCCAGACUCGUACGGGAGGCAGCAGUGGGGAAUAUUGGACAAUGGGCGAAAGUCUGAUCCAGCAAUGCCGGGUGAGUGAUGAGGGCCUUAGGGUUGUAAAGCUCUUUUACCCGGGAUGAUAAUGACAGUACCGGGAGAAUAAGCUCCGGCUAACUCCGUG
rnacentral:rRNA from 1 species